AAGUCAUCCCGGGGAUUCUCAAAGGCCCUUUGUGAAGUCCUUUCGGUCUUCUCUGGCUCAUCCUUCCUUCCCACCUGUCUAGAGGACUUAAGGAGGCUCACAGAGCAGGGCAGGGCUCACUGCUCUUCAGCAUGGCUUACAUUGCCAAGUCGUUCUACGAUCUCAGUGCCAUUGGCCUGGAUGGGGAGAAGUUAGACUUCAAUACGUUCCGAGGCAGGGCUGUGCUGAUUGAGAAUGUGGCGUCACUCUGAGGAACAACUACCCGGGACUACAAACAGCUCAAUGAGCUGAAAUGUCGCUUUCCCAGGCGCCUGGUAGUUCUCGGCUUCCCUUGCAACCAGUUCGGACAUCAGGAGAACUGUCAGAAUGAGGAGAUCCUGAACAGCCUCAAGUAUGUCCGCCCUAGGGUGGGUACCAGCCCACCUUUAGUCUUACCCAAAAGUGUGACGUCAAUGGGCAGAACGAGCAUCCUGUCUUUGCCUACCUGAAAGACAAGCUGCCCUACCCUUAUGACGACCCGUUCUCCCUCAUGACCGAUCCCAAGCUCAUCAUAUGGAGUCCUGUGCGCCGCUCAGACGUGUCCUGGAACUUUGAGAAGUUCCUCAUAGGGCCAGAAGGGGAGCCCUUCCGUCGCUACAGCCGCAGCUUCCAGACCAUCAACAUCGAGCCUGACAUCAAACGGCUCCUCAAAGUUGCCAUCUAGAUAAGAGCUGCUCAGCGCAGGAAUCUCCCACUAUUUCCCCGAGCAGUCUUCCUCAGGGCUCAGUGUACCCUCGGGAGACCCUGGGAGACCAAGGCAUUCCCUUAAUAUCGUCCCUUGCCUUCCCUACCGGCCAUUUCCUUUAGCUUCCUCAAGGCUCUUGGGGAGUUCGCUUGGGGCUCUAAGUCUGGGGUAGGUUCUGGGCCUUCACAGAAUGAAUGAUGGCUUCUUCCUAAACCCUUCUGGGAGAUGUCUGAGAAGUUGUGAAGGGUCCAGAGUCAGUCUGCUUUAGAGUCCAAUAAAGUGUAGGUGUGGCAA
rnacentral:lncRNA from 1 species